AUGUUCUCGUCACAAUCGGUGAGUCGCAUCAACAACAUACGCACCUCCCUCAUCAACGCGCAGAAGGGUAACCUCUCGGUUGCCUCCUACUUCGCCGCCAUGCGUGGCUAUGCCGACGAGCUGGCCGCGGCGGGCAAGCCCAUCCAGGACGACGAGCUUCUCUUGUACAUCAUCCACGGGUUGGACGCGGACUACCAGCCACUGGUAUCGGCCCUCGACGCCCGUGUUACUCCUGCAACCCUCGAUGAGCUCUUCGCCAUGCUGUCGGACUUCGACCAGCGCAUGGCACAGUUCAGUGGAUCC
rnacentral:rRNA from 1 species